AGAUUGAACGCUGGCGGCAGGCUUAACACAUGCAAGUCGAGCGGGGAAAUGUAGCUUGCUACAUUACCUAGCGGCGGACGGGUGAGUAAUGCUUAGGAAUCUGCCUAUUAGUGGGGGACAACAUUUCGAAAGGAAUGCUAAUACCGCAUACGCCCUACGGGGGAAAGCAGGGGAUCUUCGGACCUUGCGCUAAUAGAUGAGCCUAAGUCGGAUUAGCUAGUGGUGGGUAAAGCCUACCAAGGCGACGAUCUGUAGCGGGUCUGAGAGGAUGAUCCGCCACACUGGGACUGAGACACGGCCCAGACUCCUACGGGACGGACGAGCAGUGGGGAAUAGUUGGACAAGUGGGGGAACCCUGAUCCAGCCAUCGCCGCGUGUGUGAAGAAGGUCCUUUGGGUUGUAAAGCGUACUUUAAGCGUAGGAGGAGGUACUACCGUAG
rnacentral:rRNA from 1 species